rnacentral:lncRNA from 1 species
CCACAAUAUUUCCUAAAAGAUUGACAGGAUUUCAUGUUUUUUCCAAAAUCUUAAGUACCUAGUGGCAUUAUUACCAAAAUUAUUAUAUUUUUAUUCAACAAUUUUGUGUACUCUUUUGAUAGCAAAACUCUGGACUAUGCCAUGUAUAUUGUUAAGGGCUAUUCCAUUACAAUGUACUUGGGAGGGUAGGGAAGGACUUUCAAAAUAUCCCUACAACCAAGAACCAUUUUUUUGCAUAAUGGUAAUAGAUGCAUACCGAAAAAAGACACAUGAACAUGUUCAAUAAUUAAGGGAGUUGGCUUCUCAGUUUCAAAGUAAUUAACUAUUCAAAACACUAGUUUAUAUUGAAAGGGGAUUAAUAAAGGAGUCCA